UAUGGCCAUAACACAUUGAAACCCCUGUUCCCAUAUGAUCACCGAAGUUCAGCAACCUUGAGCCUGGUUAGUACCUAGAUGGGUGACUUCUUAGUAAUACCAGGUGCUGUAA